rnacentral:rRNA from 1 species
UGGGGAAUAUUGCACAAUGGGCGCAAGCCUGAUGCAGCCAUGCCGCGUGUGUGAAGAAGGCCUUCGGGUUGUAAAGCACUUUCAGCGAGGAGGAAGGUGGUGAACUUAAUACGUUCAUCAAUUGACGUUACUCGCAGAAGAAGCACCGGCUAACUCCGUGCCAGCAGCCGCGGUAAUACGGAGGGUGCAAGCGUUAAUCGGAAUUACUGGGCGUAAAGCGCACGCAGGCGGUUUGUUAAGUCAGAUGUGAAAUCCCCGGGCUCAACCUGGGAACUGCAUUUGAAACUGGCAAGCUAGAGUCUCGUAGAGGGGGGUAGAAUUCCAGGUGUAGCGGUGAAAUGCGUAGAGAUCUGGAGGAAUACCGGUGGCGAAGGCGGCCCCCUGGACGAAGACUGACGCUCAGGUGCGAAAGCGUGGGGAGCAAACAGGAUUAGAUACCCCUGGUAGUCCAGCGCUGUAAACGAUGUCGAUUUGGAGGUUGUGCCCUUGAGGCGUGGCUUCCGGAGCUAACGCGUUAAAUCGACCGCCUGGGGAGUACGGCCGCAAGGUUAAAACUCAAAUGAAUUGCGGGGUC